ensembl:rRNA 5S_rRNA 5S ribosomal RNA
UUCCAUAGCCAUUUCACCCUACAGCCCAACCGAUUGCUCACUGAAGCUAAGCAGGGCUGAGCCUGGUCAUUACCUGGAUGGGAGGCCACAUGGAAAAACUAGGCUACUGUUGAAA